rnacentral:rRNA from 1 species
UGGGGGAUAUUGCACAAUGGGCGAAAGCCUGAUGCAGCGACGCCGCGUGGGGGAUGAAGGCUUUCGGGUUGUAAACCUCUUUCGCUAUCGAACAAGGCCCGCUUAGGGUGGGUUGAGGGUAGGUGGAGAAGAAGCGCCGGCUAACUACGUGCCAGCAGCCGCGGUAAUACGUAGGGCGCGAGCGUUGUCCGGAAUUAUUGGGCGUAAAGGGCUUGUAGGCGGCUUGUUGCGCCUGCUGUGAAAACGCGGGGCUUAACUUCGCGCGUGCAGUGGGUACGGGCAGGCUUGAGUGUGGUAGGGGUGACUGGAAUUCCAGGUGUAGCGGUGGAAUGCGCAGAUAUCUGGAGGAACACCAAUGGCGAAGGCAACUUUCUGGAAUCAAACUGACGCUGAGGUACGAAGGCGUGGGGAGCAAACAGG